rnacentral:rRNA from 1 species
CCAAACUCCGGGACAGCAUCGGGGGGAAGACGGAGGAGCCAAGCGUUAUCCGGAAUCAUUGGGUUUAAAGGGUCCGUAGGCGGCCUUAUAAGUCAGCGGUGAAAGUUUUUGGCUUAACCAAAAAAUUGCCAUUGAUACUGUAGUGCUUGAAUAGUUGUGAAGUAACUAGAAUAUGUAGUGUAGCGGUGAAAUGCUUAGAUAUUACAUGGAAUACCAAUUGCGAAGGCAGGUUACUAACAAAUGAUUGACGCUGAUGGACGAAAGCGUGGGUAGCGAACAGGAUUAGAUACCCUGGUAGUC